rnacentral:rRNA from 1 species
GGGGCCAGCGUUGCUCGGAAUUACUGGGCGUAAAGGGUUCGUAGGUGGUGCGGCAAGUUGGAAGUGAAAUCUCUGGGCUUAACCCAGAGGCUGCUUUCAAAACUGCCGCGCUCGAGUGCGAGAGAGGUCAGUGGAAUUGCAGGUGUAGCGGUGAAAUGCGUAGAUAUCUGCAGGAACACCCGUGGCGAAGGCGGCUGACUGGAUCGCAACUGACACUGAGGAACGAAAGCUAGGGGAGCAAACAGGAUUAGAUACCCUGGUAGUCCUAGCCCUAAACCAUCGGAACUUGGGGUGGCCCGCGUAGGCGGGUCGUCCCGUAGCUAACGCGUUAAGUUCCGCGCCUGGGGAGUACGGUCGCAAGACUGAAACUCAAAGGAAUUGACGGGGGCCCGCACAAGCGGUGGAACAUGUGGUUCAAUUCGACGCAACGCGAAGAACCUUACCUGGGCUUGAACCGCUACUGACCAACGGUAGUAAUAUCGUCUUCCCGCAAGGGACAGUAGUAGAGGUGCUGCAUGGCUGUCAUCAGCUCGUGCCGUGAGGUGUUGGGUUAAGUCCCGCAACGAGCGCAACCCUUACUCGUAGUUGCUACCCGCAAGGGAGAACUCUACGAGGACUGCUCCGGAUAACGGAGAGGAAGGUGGGGAUGACGUCAAGUCAGCACGGCCUUUAUGUCCAGGGCUACACACGUGUUACAAUGCACGGUACAGACUGUUGCGAACCCGCGUGGGGGAGCUAAUCGGCCAAAGCCGUGCUCAGUUCGGAUUGCAGUCUGCAACUCGACUGCAUGAAGCUGGAAUCGCUAGUAAUGGCGCAUCAGAUCG